rnacentral:rRNA from 1 species
CAGCAGCCGCGGUAAUACGUAGGGGGCGAGCGUUACCCGGAUUCACUGGGCGUAAAGGGGGUGUAGGCGGCUCGGUAAGUCGGGUGUGAAAUCCCACGGCUCAACCGUGGAAUUGCGCCCGAAACUGCCGAGCUUGGGGCCGGUAGAGGGAGACGGAACUGCCGGUGUAGGGGUGAAAUCCGUAGAUAUCGGCAGGAACGCCGGUGGGGAAGCCGGUCUCCUGGGCCGCGCCCGACGCUGAGGCCCGAAAGCUAGGGGAGCAAACCGGAUGAGAUACCCGGGUAGUCCUAGCCGUAAACGAUGCCCACUAGGUGUGGGGGAGUAUUUCCUCCGUGCUGGAGCUAACGCGUUAAGUGGGCCGCCUGGGGAGUACGCCCGCAAGGGUGAAACUUAAAGGAAUUGGCGGG